CCAGUUUUGGGCUUCCUAGGAGCACAACCCGACCGCGAGCCCGCAAUCAGACCAGCCCACAGCGGCGAUUCCACCUUCCUCUUGAUUCAUUCCCCCACUCUCUCUCCGCUCGCGGCUCGUCCUCGCCGGCGCCGCUCGUGCGUGAAGCAAGGAUCCCCCUCCCCCUCUGUUCUGAAACUCGCGGCCGCUUGUGGUUGCAGGAGGUCAACUCGGUGCCCAGGGGGGGACCACGGCAGCCACCGCCAAAGCCGGCAGCAGGAACGAGUCACUGUAAAGUCUGAACAGCUGAACCUUUUAUCAGUAUUUUCCAUCGUUAAAGAAACCAAGGAUCACGAUGGCACUGCGGCGAGCUCUGGGAUGGUCGGAAGGGGAGGUGAUGCGGCCAGAGUCAAAGCCCUGCUCUCGGUUGAUGCGACAGACUGCUGGCAUCUUCUCAGUUGGUGGUGGUCUGGCUUUCUGGGUGCUCUGCCGCCUUCACUAUGGUCCGAGAAUAACAGUUCCAAGGAGUCUCAGGUGGGCGUCAUGUGGAGCAGUCUCUGUGAGCGCGUCAACAGCCUUGCUUGUGCGGCUCUUCAGCCCAGAAUGUGAACCUCAGAAUAUAGCAGCAUAUGACAAACCUGAAUUGAAGCCUGAAUAGCUAGCUUAUUUGAGUUUAGAGUUAGUCGACUCAGUUCUAUCAUGUUUUUUUUUAUCCGUGCAUCCUGGACAGUUUCUGGAAGAUACAUCUGCAUGAUGGAGAGAUGGAGUCUGCCAUAUAUUGUCACUUGAAUUUGUCCUGCUGGCUACCAUUGUAUGAUAAAUUUAUCUCCGAGCUAUGAGCUGUUGCGUUUA